CAAGGUAUAGCUUAACAUAAAGCAUCCGGCUUACACCCAGAAGACCUCAACAUCGUUUGACUACCUUGA
rnacentral:tRNA from 1 species